rnacentral:rRNA from 1 species
GAUGUUGGCUUAGAAGCAGCCAUCAUUUAAAGAAAGCGUAAUAGCUCACUGGUCGAGUCGGCCUGCGCGGAAGAUGUAACGGGGCUAAACCAUGCACCGAAGCUGCGGCAGCGACACUAUGUGUUGUUGGGUAGGGGAGCGUUCUGUAAGCCUGCGAAGGUGACCUGUGAGGGUUGCUGGAGGUAUCAGAAGUGCGAAUGCUGACAUAAGUAACGAUAAAGCGGGUGAAAAGCCCGCUCGCCGGAAGACCAAGGGUUCCUGUCCAACGUUAAUCGGGGCAGGGUGAGUCGACCCCUAAGGCGAGGCCGAAAGGCGUAGUCGAUGGGAAACAGGUUAAUAUUCCUGUACUUGGUGUUACUGCGAAGGGGGGACGGAGAAGGCUAUGUUAGCCGGGCGACGGUUGUCCCGGUUUAAGCAUGUAGGCUGGUUAUCCAGGCAAAUCCGGAUAAUCAAGGCUGAGGUGUGAUGACGAGGCACUACGGUGCUGAAGUAACAAAUGCCCUGCUUCCAGGAAAAGCCUCUAAGCAUCAGGUAACAUCAAAUCGUACCCCAAACCGACACAGGUGGUCAGGUAGAGAAUACCAAGGCGCUUGAGAGAACUCGGGUGAAGGAACUAGGCAAAAUGGUGCCGUAACUUCGGGAGAAGGCACGCUGGUGUGUAGGUGAAG